AAUGAAGUGCCUGACAAGAAAAGGACUAUUUUGAUAGAAUAGAAAAUGUUCUCACGAACCUUCAUUA
rnacentral:tRNA from 1 species